rnacentral:snRNA from 1 species
AGCUUUGCGCAGUGACAGUAUCGUAGCCAAUGAGGUUUAUUCCAGGCGCAAUUAUUGCUAAUUGAAAAAAACUGUGCAA